CCGAGCUGCGGGAGCCCAGCUCGCCCGCGAAGUGCUGGACCCCAGGGAGCGCUGCGGGGGGGGCACGCCGCGGGUUUAUUUCCUGCUGUCGUACACAACUCUAUAAAGUUUUUAAGGAGAAAAAGCCGGGUUUGGGUGAAUUCCCCGCCGGCGGGGCGUCUUCACCAUGGCAACCGCUCCCGGGCGGAUGGGCGCGAGGGUGGGCCAAUCAGAGUGCGGGCACCGCGCUCCCAUUGGUCGGAUCGUCUCGCUGCGCUUCCAUUGGUCGGAUCGCCCCGCCGGAGGUGGGGCGCGCUGAGGAUUGACGGCGGCGACGGGCCAACGGAGCGGCGCGGCCCAAGAAGGAUCACCUUCUGCGGCAUGGCAAGAGAAUCCCGCAUGGCUGAUUCCUCUUGCUGCUCAGGCGAUCGAGGUCAAAGGAGAGACGUGGACAAACUGGGACAAAGCGGUGUCUCGCUUCUGCAUGUUUUCCAGGCGUUCCCAUGAAGCACCAGCAGCGUCGUAACUAGUGACGGCGAGUCCUGAUGUGGUUUUGAAUGUCAACUGGCAGCGUUUCUCCGUGGUUGCCCUUUUGUUGUGCCGUGACAGUGCAGGACAGACAGAAAGGAUCUGGAGUGCUCUGUGAGUAUGAGGGUUUGACCCGUCCCCCUUAGCUGCAUCGACCCUGCGAGCGAGGUGCCUCGUUGUAGGUGUCUCGUGCUGCUCGAGAGAUGCCCCAGCCCAGGUUUGCAGCUGGUGGCGGAGCCCCACUGAGGGGAAGGGGCCAGCCCUGGGUCUGGGCGUUGUGUUCCUCUUUUGGGGGGGAAUAAAAA